UACGUAGGGUGACAGCGUUAAUCGGAAUUACUGGGCGUAAAGCGUGCGCAGGCGGUUUUGUAAGUCUGUCGUGAAAUCCCCCGGGCUCAACCUGGGAAUUGCGAUGGAGACUGCAAGGCUAGAAUCUGGCAGAGGGGGGGUAGAAUUCCACGUGUAGCAGUGAAAUGCGUAGAGAUGUGGAGGAACACCGAUGGCGAAGGCAGCCCCCCUGGGUCAAGAUUGACGCUCAUGCACGAAAGGCGUGGGGAGCAAACAGG
rnacentral:rRNA from 1 species